CAGGAUCAGCUGCAUCAGUCUGAAGCUGAGCUGCAGCAACCUGGGACAUCAGUGAAGAUGCCCUGAAAGGCUACUGGCUACACCUUCACUAAGUAUCGAAUGUGUUGGGUGAGGCAGAAGCUUGGACAGGGCCUGGAAUGGAUUGCAUCUGUUGAUCCUGGAAAUAGUAAUACUGAAUACAAUCAGAAGUUCAAAGGCAAGGCCACACUAACAGAACACAAAUCCUCCAGCACAGCCUACAUAGAGCUUAGCAACCUGACCUCUGAGGACUCUGCUGUCUAUUACUGUACAAG